CUUUUCUCCUCGCCGAUUUCCAUGUCCACUGUUCCUCUUUUUCUCCCCAAUCUUCUUCCUUUCUUCUCCCUUUUCUCCAAUUUCCUCUUCUAAUUUUCACUUCUUUUUUUUCUUUUAAAUAAUAAUUUUUCUUAGCUUUUUUUCCUCUUUAAAUUCCUUUCUCUUCUUUGAGUCUUUAGAUUUCAACCGUUUUGUCCAAAUUUAUUGAAAAUCUCAUUCCCAUCUCUCACUUCGAACUUAAAGAUCAAAUCUUUGGGUUGAUCGAUUAUGAGGGUGUGUAUUGGAUUUGGAUUAUGAACAUGGGUUUUCAAAAAGAUUCAAGCCUUCCUUCUUGGAUUAACUCUUUGAAGUAAAAAUCUAGGGUUUGAAAAAAAAAAACUAAAAAUUUUCUUGUUAAUUUGAUUGAGGGAGAGAGAUAGGGUUUUUGAAGAGAUAGUAAAGUUGUUGGUUGCUGGUGUAGCAUUAUCAAGAUUCACAUUCAAAUGUGUUGCGUUGGGGCUGUUCCAGAUUUCUUUGCAACUGAGAAUCUUGAUGAUGCUGCAUCGGCAAUAAAUGACUACAUAAAUAUAUAUCACAGAUUCUGACAUUUUCCCACGACCAAAAUUAACAGGCAAGGGAAAGAGAAUCUCGAGAGAUUAAAUUUAAGCUCCACAAUGGGAUGGCAGCAGACGAGCUCAAGGAUGCAUGCUCUCUCCAUCUCCGUCUCCAUGGAGAUUUUUCUUUGUCGUUCCAAUGGGAGUUUUUUCAUUCCUGUCUCCUCUCCAUUCUCCAUUUCAAAGUUUUGUUGACUAUUUGUGAUGUCACAUUCCUUUUGAUAUAGAUAUAUACACGCGCAAAUGUUAUGUACAUUAUAAAUAUUAUAAGUUAAGCAAUGAUACCAACUAUGUUGGGGAGAAUUAAUCCUUCUUCAAACAAAGGACAAAAAAAAUCCACUUCUCUACCACCAAAGAAAUCAAUUUAAACAAUAAUAAUAACAAUGUAAUAAUUAAAGGUAGGGGUAAAGAGAAAUUAAAUCUCUUGUGGAUGA